UACGUAGGGGGCAAGCGUUGUCCGGAUUUAUUGGGCGUAAAGAGCGUGUAGGCGGCCAUGUAGGUCCGUUGUGAAAACUCGAGGCUCAACCCCGGAACUGCCUUUGAUACUGGGUAUCUUUGAGUCCGGAAGAGGUGAGUGGAAUUCCGAGUGUAGAGGUGAAAUUCGUAGAUAUUCGGAGGAACACCAGUGGCGAAGGCGGCUCACUGGUCCGGUACUGACGCUGAGGUGCGAAAGCGUGGGGAGCAAACAGG
rnacentral:rRNA from 1 species